GGGGGGGGGGGGGGGGGGGGGGGGGGGGGGGGGGGGGGGGGGGGGGGGGGGGGGGGGGGGGGGGGGGGACCCCAGACCCAAAUUAACCUCAGAGCCCUCCCCGAGUGCCCUGAGACCCCAGACCCAAAUUAACCUCAGAGCCCUACCCAAGUAUCCUGAGACCCCAGACCCAAAUUAAUCUCAGAGCCCUCCUUGAGAGCCCUGUGACCCCAAACCCGAAUGGGGGACAGAGCCCUCCCCGAGUGCNUGUUAGGGUUAGGGUUAGAGUUUGGAUUAGUGUUAGGGUUAGGGUUAGGGUUAUUGUUAGGGUUAGCGUUAGACUUAGGUUUAGUUUUAGAGUUAGGUGUUAGGGUUAGUGGUAGGGUUAGGUUUAGGGUAGCCUUUCCUCCAGAAAGGGUUUUUUCCGGGUUGUAUAUUUCGGGGUAGGUUUAUUUCCGGUAUUCUGCAUACUGGCAGGGUUAUUUCCGGGUAGGGUUAGGGUUAGGGUUAGGGUUAGGGGGUUAGGGUUAGGGUUAGGGUUAGGGGUUAGGGGUUAGGGUUAGGGUUAGGGUUAGGGGUUAGGGGUUAGGGUUAGGGUUAGGGUUAGGGGUUAGGGGUUAGGGUUAGGGUUAGGGUUAGGGGUUAGGGGUUAGGGUUAGGGUUAGGGUUAGGGGUUAGGGGUUAGGGUUAGGGUUAGGGUUAGGGGUUAGGGGUUAGGGUUAGGGUUAGGGUUAGGGGUUAGGGUUAGGGUUAGGGUUGGGUUAGUGUUAGGGUUAGAGGGUUAGGGUUAAUGUUAGGGUUAGGGGUUAGGGUUAGGGUUAGAGGGUUAUGGUUAGGGGUUAGGGUUAGGGUUUGGGGUAAGGGUUAGUAGGUUGGGGUUAGGGUGAGGGUUAGGGUUAUUUCCGGGCUGGGUUACUUUCGGGUAGGUUUUUUUGGUGUGUCUCUUUCCGGGUUGGGUUAUUUCGGGGUUGUCUACUUCCGGGUAGAGUUAUUUCCGGGUUGUCUAUUUCCGGGAAAGGUUAGGGUUAGGGUUAGGGUUAGGGCUAGGGUUAGGGUUAGGGUUAGGGUUAGGGUUAGGUUUAGGGAUAGGGAUAGUUUUAGGGUUAGGGUUAGGGUUUGGGUUGGGGUUAGGGUUAGGGUUAGGGUUGGGGAUUGUUUUAGCGUUAGGGUUAGGGUUAGGGUUAUCCUUACUUACGGGUAUAGUUAUUUCCAGGUUGUCUAUUUCAGAGUAGGGUUAUGUCCGGGUAUUCUGCUUCCUGGCAGGGUUAUUUCCGGGAAGGGUUACUUCUGGGUUGUCAAUUUCGGGGUAGUGUUAUUUCCGGUUUUUCUGUUUCUGUGUAGGUUUAUUUCCGGGUUGUCCAAUUUCGGGUUGUCUUUUUCCGGUAGGUCUAUUUCCUGGUAGGGUUAUUUCCGGCUUUUCUACUUCCAGGUAGAAUUAUUUCCGAGUUUUCUAUUCCCGGGUAGGGUUAUUUCCGGGUAGUCUACUUCCGGGCAGGGUUUUUUUUAGGGUAGGGUUAUUUCCAGGUUGUCUAUUUCGGGCUAGGGUUAAGGUUAGGGUUAGGGUCAGGGACAGGGCUAGGGUUAGGUUUAGAAUUAGGGGUCAGAGUAAGGGUUAGGGUUAGGGUUAGGGUUAGGGGUUAGGGUUAGGGUUAGUGUUAGGGUUAGGGUUAGGGUUAGGUUUUGCUUUAGGGUUAGGGGUUAGGGUUUUGGUUAGGGGUUAGGGUUUCUGUUAGGGUUGGGAUUAGGGUUAAAUUAGGGUUAGGGAUUCGGGUUAGGGUUAGUGUUAGGGUUAGGGAUACAGUUAGGGUUAUGGUUAGGGUUAAAGUUAAUGUUAGGGGUUAGGGUUAGGGUUAGGUUCAGGGUCAGGGUUAUGGUUAGAGUAAGGGUUAGAGUUAGGGUUAGGGUUAGGGUUAGGGUUAGGGUUAAGGUUAGGGGUAGGGUUUGGGUUAGGGUUAGGGUUAGGGUUAGGUUUAGGGUUAGGGUUAGGGUUUAGGGCAGCCUUACUUCCGGGUAGGGUUACUUUCGGUUUGUCUAUUUCUGGGUAGGGUUAUUUCUGGGUAGUCUGCUUCCUGGUAGGGUUAUUUUCGUGUAGGGUUACUUCUGAGUUUUCUAUUUCGGGGUAGGGUUACUUCUGGGUUUGCUGUUUCUUUGUAUGGUUAUUUCCAGGUUGUCUGUUUCCUUGCAGGGUUAUUUCCUGGUUGUCUAUAUUCGGGUAGGGUGUAUUUCCGUAUAGUCUACUUCCGGGUAGGGUUAUUUUUAGGGUAGAGUUAUUUCCGGGUUGUCUAUUUCCUCGUAGGUCAAUGUCCUGGUAGGGUUUUUUCUGGUUUUUCUACUUCCGGGUAGAGUUAUUUCUGAGUUGUCUAUUCCCGAGUAGGGUUAUUUCCGGGUAGUCUACUUCUGGGUAGGGAUAUUUUUGGGUAGGGUUAUUUCCGGGUUGUCUAUUUCGGAUAUUUUUAGGGUAGGGUUAUUUCCGGGUUGUCUAUUUCUGGGUAGGGUUAGGGUUAGGGUUAGGGUUAGGGUCAGGGUCAGGGUUAGGGUUAGGGUUAGGGUUAGGGUUAGGGUUAGGGUUAGGGUUAUGGUUAAAGUUAUGGUUAGGGUCAGGGUCAGGGUCAGGGUUAGGGUUUAGGGUCAAGGUCAGGGUUAUUGUUAGGGUUAGGGUUAGGGUUAGGGUUAGGGUCAGGGUCAGGGUCAGGGUUAGGGUUAGGGUUAGGGUCAGGGUCAGGGUGAAGGUCAGGUUUAGGGUCAGGGUAAGGUCAGGGUCAGGGUUAGGGUUUGGGUUAGGGUUAGGGUUAGAGAAAUACACACAAGUUACUCCUCCUGCAGGCAAAAAGCCACAGGCUUUACAUGUUAGUUUAUGUUUUUUUUAUGUUAGAGCAGUUGUAUGAACCUGCUCAGGUUCUCAUACCUUGUCAAUAAUUUCAAGCAUUAGAGAAGUUAAAAUAUUGGCAUGAAGCAGAGCAGAAAGUGUGUGGCCCUUCAGAAGCUAUUUUCUAUAGAAUAUAUUGGAUUAGAACGAGGGAACGUCUCUCGGGUUGGGUUAUUUCCGGGUUUGGGGUAGGGUCAGGGUCAGGGUCAGGGUAAGGGUUAGGGUUAGUGUUAGGGUCAGGGUUAGGGUGAGGUUUAGGGUCAGGGUCAGGGUUAGGGUUACUGUUAGGGUCGGGGUCAGGGUUAAGUUUAGGUUUAGGGUCUUCAGGCACCAGAGCAGAGACUACCCUGUAGCCCACAGUGAAGACCAUAGUGAUGCAAAUCAACUCUCUGCAGGCCAUGGAGGUCCACAUUAGAGGAAGUAGCCUAAGAAGGAUCCCAUGUUACAGCAGGUGGAUAUGCAUUGAAAGGUGUUGUGACCCUGUGGGGA
rnacentral:lncRNA from 12 species